CUGCAGGACACACGGCCAGCGAUGUCAGAGCACAGGGUUCCUGCAGAGCGCCUUCAUCCUUAUGACGAUGUCUUAAAUCUAUAUUUCAAAAGUCUGAAAAUGGCUACAACAUCAAAGGUCUCACGUCAGUCUGACUUACCGCGUUAGCAUUGCCUCCGACCUGCAUACACCUGAGC